rnacentral:rRNA from 1 species
UACGGGGGGGGCAAGCGUUGUUCGGAAUUACUGGGCGUAAAGGGCUCGUAGGCGGCCAACUAAGUCAGACGUGAAAUCCCCAGGCUCAACCUGGGAACUGCGUCUGAUACUGGAUGGCUUGAAUCCGGGAGAGGGAUGCAGAAUUCCAGGUGUAGCGGUGAAAUGCGUAGAUAUCUGGAGGAAUACCGGUGGCGGAGGCGGCAUCCUGGACCGGCAUUGACGCUGAGGAGCGAAAGCUAGGGGAGCAAACGGG